GGUCCUUUGAAAAACAAAUUUGUAAUCCUUCACACUGCACAUGUUUGAAAGGAUCGGCACUUUUGAAGGCCUAGAGAAGAAUUGGAAUAAUGUUCUUAGCUAAGCCCUCGGAAAGAACAGAGACGUGCUUUGGAAAACAUACCCAAUUACAUAAGUUUAUCAAAAGCUUUGAAAGGCUCCUCUGUCUAUGACCAAAAGGGGAGAAAAAUAGUGGAGAAGAGAAAGAGGGAGAAGGCUCCUAAGUGCAUUUACCCAUGGUAGCGGGAGAGCAGCAGCUAAGCUGACAUACUUCAAACCGAUGUGGCCCACCAUCCCAGACCUCCCCGUUGUCAACAGCAUGCAAGAUUCCAGCAGCAAGCCCUGGAAAGUGCCUUUGCAAAAACCAGAUGGACUUUCUCAGUUUUAGAUUAAAAAAACACAUGGAACUGUAUCAAAAGCCUGCAGGACAGAAGGUCUCAUCUGCUACCAGCUCUGUUUGAAGGUUGUCUGUAAGUUGGACUGUCUUGUCUGACACCAGGCUUUUGAAAGAGCAAAGGAAGAAGAUUUCAGCAGCAACUCAGUUAUGGCAACAAAAAACAUUCCCCAGACAAAACACAAAAUGCCACAUGGAAAUGCAGUGGUCCUGAGUAGACACCAAAACGCCUGGUCCUCUGUGUCCCAAGUGUUCUCUCUUGGAGCAGCCAAGAUUUACUGAUACAUUCAGGAUCUGCUGGAUGAGCAUCAUGCAUCAAUGAGCUUCAUCAAAAGUUUAGCUUCCACACAAAAGUUUUUACUUCAACUACAAAAAAAAAAAAAAAAGCUUCCAUUCCCAAACCCUAUCAUGGUAGAAAUUGAAUUUCCUGAUGCAGGGAAUCUGCAAGAAAGUGGUUGAAUUUAUCAUAUCCUAGAGAGGAAAAACUCAAACAAAUAACAGCCUGAAUAGCUCUCAAUAUAAAUAACAACAAAAAUCUGGAUGAGGUAAGCAUAAAAAAACAAAAUGGAAAGAGUGUGGAGGAGAGUAAGGAGAGUAAGGAGAUGACAUUCCCUUAGCAAAACCUCCACUAGAGAAAAAGGAAAAUAUUUCAACAAAUAUCUUCUAUUGUAUGUAUAUCAUGAGCACAGAGACCCCCUAAGUUGGAGGUUUUCCCUUCUUUUUCACAACAUCCUUUAAGCAACCCUUCAGGCUUCUGUGAAAAAAAAUCUCCUCAAUCCCUUACUGAGUUAAUUUGAAAUUCUAAAACUAAUGAAGCUUUUGUCUCCCUCUUAACCUAAGAGCUAUUGUUACCUCUAAAAAUAAAAAAGAUAAUCUGUUAAAGAGCUAAAAAUACUGAGCUCUGAGAGCCUUUUCAGACAUGCACAGAAAAUGAUUGACACCCUUGCACCUUUAGUCUUCACAAAGAAAAUGGUGGGGCAGGAGCUCCUAUGCCCACCUCACAGCAACUCUUUCAUCAGCUGUCUGCCAGUUGUCCUCCCACAGCUCAAAUAAAUCCAGCACAGCCUGGGCAGAAGGUUAGUGCUCAGAAAGUGGUAUUCAUGAAGAAUCUAAAACAAUCACCCAAAGGUGCUUGGGCAACACUGUUUUAGGAAAGAGCUAUGUAACUUUUUUUUAGUAAGAAAAGCAGGAAGCGCUUUCAGAUAGGAAUGCCAAGAACUGCAGCUAUGUGCCACCUGCCCAAAUCCCCAUGGCUGCAGGACUAACAAAAGCUCUCCUGGGACACAGCAGGACAAGGGGUGCAGUCUGGGUGAGUCACUGCAUGCUUUGAAUUGAAUGGGAGAGUUAAAACAAUUAGACCUAGUUACCAGUAACACAAAAAGCUCUCCUGUUUAUCAUAAAGAAGUCUUGUCACAGUGAAGUCUAGUCACAGCGCAGUGAGCAAAACUGUUCAUAUUCCAAAGCUAACUGGUCAGAACAGACAAACUUUUGCCUCACUUGCCUAACUUCAAAGUUGUCUUGCGUGUCCACAGCGAGUUGUUGGCAGAGGCAGGACUACAGGUCUGAGCCAAGAGAUGAGGAGCUGACCCAUGACAGACACGGCCAGCUCCAGCUGGCUCCACCAGACCCAUGCAGGACGCAGACAAGUUCAUCAGAUGGUGCCUCUGUGACAAGGUAACACAGAGACAGAGAGAGGAGAACUAAAGGAAUGAGAAACAGCAGCGGGAACAUCAAGGUCAGAGUAGGAGCAGGUACACCUGAAGGAGCUGCAGCCCAUGGAGAGCCCAGGGUGCAAUAGUUAUUUCCUUAGGGACUGCAGACUGGAAGGAGAAUCCGCAUGAAAGCACAGGAAAAGUGUGAGAGGAUAAGAGCAGGAGAGAGAAAUCACCAAACCUCUAACAACCAUAAGUGCCCCCCCAGCACCACUUGGGGACCAUCUACAGGAGUCUGGAGAGGAGAAGGGAGGGGAGAGAAGAGAAGGGGAUGGGAGGAUACAUCUUUGUAUUUCUUUGUGUCUUACUGACAGAUUCUAUUCUAAUUGGGAAUAAAUUAAAUUAACUUUCUCCAAGUCUGUAUUGCUACAACAGUAACUGGUGAGCAAUUUCCCUGUCUUUGUGUUGACCAAUGAGCUUUCUUAUCCUAUGCCACAUGCCCCAUGGAGAGGGGUUAUGAGUAAGCAGCUGGAUGGAAAUUUGGGUGUUUGCCAAAGCUAACCCAUCACAAAAGUGAACCCAUCACAAUGUGCCAAAAUCUCUGCAGCACAUGGACUUUCUCAGCCUGGAGUCUCGGCAAGAGGAUGUACUUGGUUUCAAUCAAAGGAAAUACAGGGAAAGGUAAAGCUAUUUCACAUAGUUCAUCCACAAAAAUAAUAAUAAAUACAUAAAUAAAAAGAUUAUUCCCAAGGGGAAAUACCAGUUUCAGCUUUUGCUGAUCAUUUGGAGGAAGGGGAGACAUCUGAAUGAUCCUGGAAUCCCCAGUCCUACUGUCCUUUCUCUUAGAAAUAAAAAUGAGAGUGGAGGACAAUUGAAGAUUCUCCAGCAAUAACACUAUAUAGAAGUUCUUUUUAAUUCUAAAAAUACCCUGUUUAGUUCAAGUUGUUCUUUCAAACAAAAGAUGCAAACCUGCUUCCAAGUCCUGAUUUAAUUUUAACUGAGCAUCCAAGGAAAUAGAAAGUUUUCCUGGCUCUAACUACCAUGGGACAUUUUGGGCAUUUUGGUCACUUGUUUCAGCAGAUGUGUAAUCCUAAACCCUCUUUCUAUGGCCAGCUGCACUUAGCCAUUUUUAGUCUACAAUCUUUUAAAUGUGAAUCAGUCUUUUUCCUGGGUUCUGAAUUCUUAUUAUGACGUUUUCCAUAACUUGCAGUACACAGAGGAAUGUCCUACAAUUUCUUCAACCUCUUUGACAAUAAAAAGGCUGCAAUGGGGAGGACAGCAAAAGAAGAAAGAUUUCUUCCCCUGAACACUCAUUUUGGGGAGUGAGGAGAGGCUGAAAGGACAUUUCUACUGUCCAGCAGAUUGCUUGUGCUGUGGAACUAUUUCAAACAUAUAGAAUUCCCCAAGCCUGCACCAGGUGCCAUGAAUUAAUGUCUAACUCAUUUGUACUCUAGAAUGUUUCCAUCCAUUUAGGCUAUCAAGGGAUUUGCUGUGCUUCCCGUGUGUCAUUAUAAAGUCCUUUAAAAUAUUUCAAUUCUGCUUUAAACUUAAACUCCUCAAAGAACUUUAACUGUGCAGUAUAAAUUUAUGAAGACCAUAUGGAUGAUGUCAAGCUCAUGAUAAAAGUCAGAGAUAAUCUAGAAAAAAAAAUUACACUACAAAUUAAUCUUCAAUGUUCAUGUCUGUUUCCACUAGAAGAAAUAUCUCUAGCAGUGCCUCCAGGACAUAUCUUCUAACAGAAGUCAGCCAACCUUCCUCGUGUGUCUGUGAAUAUUCUGAAGUCAAUGGUCACUUACACAAAAUCCUGCAUUAAAGCCUUUUCAACAUGAUCCUGUCAAGUUCUACAAGAUGCACAGGGUUUGGUCAAAGACCAAACUGUCUUUGAAAAGCUGUGUUAUUUCUGCAGGUCAUGUUCUAACUGAAGGAGCUCUGCCUUUUUGACCAACGCUGACUUAAUGGCAAAUCCUGUCUGAGGCUGGGCACCAGAGCUGUGCCUUUUUGCAACAGAAAUUAAGAUCAAGUUUUAUUGUUCUCAGUUGACAGAAACUGUGUAGCACUCAUGCAGGAGUUGUAACACACCAGCUGUGUCCUCCUGUUUAAAACAUACUUUGGGUAGCUGUACUCCAGCUAGUCAUGCUCUUUACCAUCUCAAACCAACAAUAUAAUCUCUACACUUGGGAGCACUGUUGUGGAUUGACAAAAGAAUUGUUCUGGCUGCCUAACAUACACGAAAGAGAACAUUUACAAAUGCUUUAAAAGUGCAAUAUAUUGGUCAGUGUUUAAUUAUUUCCAAAUCUAGUAUCAGCAAUAUUUCUAGUUCUAUUGUGCUAGCAAAAUUUUAAUAAAGAUUAAAUCACUCACUCAAGUUUCACUUUACUAACAUUGUAACCUGGGAAAAACCUAAUGUUGGCAUGAUUCUUGUAUCCUCAAUCUGAUGAUUAUUUAGGGAAAAAAACUUCAGUUCCAUAGAAUGGAAAUGCAUUUCCCCAAACUUGUUACUUCUCUCCCAAAUCAAAUAUUUGUUUUCAUUCUCAUGCAUGAAUCAUGCAAAUCCCUUGUCUUCCUGAUUCAUUCCCUGUGGACUUCUCUCCAUUAAAGGAAGGUUAAAUGAG